rnacentral:rRNA from 1 species
AUAGCGUAUAUUAAAGUUGUUGCAGUUAAAAAGCUCGUAGUUGAACUUCAGGCCUGGUCGUUCGGUCCGCCUCACGGCGUGUUUACUGUAUCGACUGGGCCUUCCUUUCUUGGUGAGCUCUGCAUGCCCUUUAUUGGGUGUGUGGAUGUCUGGCCAGGACUUUUACUUUGAAAAAAUUAGAGUGUUCAAAGCAGGCCUAUGCCCGAAUAUAUUAGCAUGGAAUAAUAGAAUAGGACGUUGCGGUCCUAUUUUGUUGGUUUCUAGGAUCGCCGUAAUGAUUAAUAGGGAUAGUCGGGGGCAUUAGUAUUCACAUGCUAGAGGUGAAAUUCUUGGAUUUUGUGAAGACUAACUUCUG